rnacentral:rRNA from 1 species
UGACGAGCGGCGGACGGGUGAGUAAUGUCUGGGAAACUGCCUGAUGGAGGGGGAUAACUACUGGAAACGGUAGCUAAUACCGCAUAACGUCUUCGGACCAAAGAGGGGGACCUUCGGGCCUCUUGCCAUCGGAUGUGCCCAGAUGGGAUUAGCUUGUUGGUGAGGUAACGGCUCACCAAGGCGACGAUCCCUAGCUGGUCUGAGAGGAUGACCAGCCACACUGGAACUGAGACACGGUCCAG